rnacentral:rRNA from 1 species
AUGCCAUCUAGCGACAAGCAAUUAGCAUUCUCGGUGAAAACAGCAGCAUCGCGUGAGCUGCUAAACAAAGGUACAAACAUCGUAAAUAUGUCUCAAGGCACUUCUCUGCCGCCAAAGGAUAAAGGUGCUGCUGAAGAACCUUUGAAGGCUGUGGGCACAAAACGGCUGCAUACUGAUGCUCCUUCAAGCCCCGUUUAUCAUAAUGUUUAUGUACGGCGAAAGGUGGAAACCGAACAUAAUAAAGUGAACUCGUCUCCGGAGAUGAAGGUUAUUGGCAAGGACAAAACAAAGCAGCAGGAGGGACAGCGAAAUGUGGAAACUGAACAUAGUAAAGUGAGUUGUUCUCAAGAGUUGAAGGGUAGUGGAAGUGCGAAAACAAAAGGGCAGGAGAUACAGAAAAUGGAAACUGAACAUAGUAGAGUGAACCCUUCUCAAGAGUUGAAGGGUAGUGGAAGCGAGAAAACAGAGGAGCAGGAGGAACAGAAAGUGAAAACUGAACAUAGUAAAGUGAGCUCUUCUAAAGAGUUGAAGGGUAGUGGAAGCGAGAAAACAAAGGAGCAGGAGGAACAGAAAAUGAAAACUGAACAUAGUAAAGUGAGCUCUUCGAAAGAGUUGAAGGGUAAUGGAGGAGAAAAAAUAGAAGAGCAAGAGGAUCAGCAAAUGGUGCAAUGUGAUCAAGUCAGUAAGCCAGAAGUGGCACCUCCUAUUGCUGAAUCUGGAAUAAAAGAGCAGGAUGAACAGCAAACGGUGCAAGUGAAUAAGCCGGAAGUGGCACCUCCUAUUUCUGAAUCUGGAAUAAAAGAGCAGGAUGAACAGAAAACGGUGCAACAUGAUGAAGUCAAUAAGCCAGAAGUGGCACCUUCUAAUGCUGAAUCUGGAAUAAAAGGGCAGGAUGGACAGCAAAUGAUGCAACAUGAUCAGGUCAAUAAGUCAGAAAUGGCACCUAUUCCUGAAUCUGGAAUAAAAGAUCAGGAUGGACAGCAAAUGAUGCAACAUGAUCAGGUCAAUAAGUCAGAAAUGGCACCUAUUCCUGAAUCUGGAAUAAAAGAUCAGGAUGAACAGCAAAUGAUGCAACAUGAUGAGGUUGAUAAGCCAGAAACCGGAAUAAAAGAGCAGGAGGAACAGCAAACUGUACAACAUGAUCAGAUCAAUAAGCCAGAAGUGGCACCUCCUAUCUCUGAAUCUUGCAUAGAAGAGCAGGAGAAACGGCAAACUGUACAACCAGAUCAAGUCAAUAAGUCAGAAGUGGCAGCUCCUGUUGCUGAACUUAGGAUAACAGAGCAGGAGGAACCGCAAUUGGUACAACCAUAUCAGGUCAAUAAGCCAGAAGUGGCACCUCCUGUUGCUGAACCUAGGAUAACAGAGCAGGAGGAACCGCAAAUGGUACAACACGAUCAGGUCAAUAAGCCAGAAGUGGCACCUACUAUUGCUGAAUCUGUAGAUCUAGUCUCAUCUGAAAUGUCUGAAUCUGGAGGGCUAGAGCCAUCUAAAUCUCCUGAAGAAACACAUGCAGAAACUGUACCAAAGAUAGAUGAGCUGCCGAUUGCUUCUGCUAACGAGCCCCCGGUCACUCCUAGCACCACCGUUCAAGGUGAUAUCCAUAGACCAGGCAACCAAAACCCGUACUGGAGUGAGAGAUAUGAUCGAUUACAGACAUAUUUGGAGAACUGUGAUCGGUCACCCCAGGAGGGUUAUAUGCGAAUGCUUAGGUCACUCUCAGCAGCCGGUCGAAGCAUGCAUGCGAUUGAGCUGGAGAAAAGGGCAAUACACCUCCUAGUGGAGGAAGGUAAAGAGCUGCAACGGAUGAAGGCUUUGAAUGUUUUGGGGAAAGUUUCUCCGAACGGCCCUCCGAAGCAGGAUCCCUUGCAGCGGCCGUGCCAGAAAUGA